GAUGAACGCUGGCGGCGUGCUUAACACAUGCAAGUCGAACGGAAAGGCCCUGCUCUUGUGGGGUGCUCGAGUGGCGAACGGGUGAGUAACACGUGAGUAAACUGCCCCUGACUUUGGGAUAACUUCAGGAAAAUGGGGCUAAUAUCGGAUAGGAGCUCUUGAUGCAUGGUGGGGGUUGGAAAGUUUCGGCGGUUGGGGAUGGACUCGCGGCGUAUCAGCUUGUUGGUGAGGUAGUGGCUUACCAAGGCUUUGACGGGUAGCCGGCCUGAGAGGGUGACCGGCCUCAUUGGGACUGAGAUACGGCCCAGACGCCUACGGGAGGCAGCGGUGGGAAAUAUUGCACAAUGGGCGGAAGCCUGAUGCAGCAACGCCGCGUGCGGAAUGACGUCCUUCGAGUUGUAAACCGCUUUCGCCUGUGACGAAGCGUGAGUGACGGUAAUGAGUAAAGAAGCACCGGCUAACUACGUG
rnacentral:rRNA from 1 species